rnacentral:tRNA from 2 species
GAGCGGUAGUUCAGUUGGUUAGAAUACCGGCCUGUCACGCCGGGGGUCGCGGGUUCGAGCCCCGUCAACC